GUGGAAUUACACCUCAACGAAUUUGAACUCUGCUCUACCCGAUAAGCCUGUGGGAGCGAGAUUAAGGCUUGCUGGUCAUUUAUUACACUCGAAGUCAGUCUUUUUCUCUCUCCUAUUGGUAUAACGGUGUUUCAACGAGUCCGAGUUCCCGCACCGUAGUCAUCCACAUCAUC
rnacentral:pre_miRNA from 1 species